UACGGGGGGGGCAAGCGUUGUUCGGAAUUACUGGGCGUAAAGGGCUCGUAGGUGGCCAACUAAGUCAGACGUGAAAUCCCUCAGCUUAACUGGGGAACUGCGUCUGAUACUGGAUGGCUUGAGUUUGGGAGAGGGAUGCGGAAUUCCAGGUGUAGCGGUGAAAUGCGUAGAUAUCAGGAGGAACACCAAUGGCGAAGGCAGCUCGCUGGGACGGUACUGACGCUGAGACGCGAAAGCGUGGGGAGCAAACAGG
rnacentral:rRNA from 1 species